GCUCGACCUCGAGAACAAGAAAAAGGUAAAACCCUAGCCGCCAAACCUUCUCCUCCCCACUCCAUCCUCUCCCACGCCGCCACACCCUCUCCUCACGCGCCUCAGCGCCCUCCCCUCCUCCCUGUGCCGCCGGCCCCCUUCCUUCUCCCCGCGCUAGAGCAGAGAUGCGCCUCAGUAUGGCAGCAGCAGUACCGUCUCCAUGGACGCGGCGGCGUGACGGCUCCCAGGCACGGAUCCCCUCCUCCGCCUCCAUCCUCCACCUCUCCGGUCGCCCUGUUGCAACCGUGAGCUCUCCCUUUCCUUGACUACUCUCCUCUCUCACAUCACAUCAGAUCGGAUCGGAACCCUGCUUUCUUUUUCUGUUCGAUUCAGUCUGGAGCAGCAGCAACUGAUUUCCAUCUUCCAGUUCAUGUAAAUGGCCUUGUUGUGGUUGCACGGUGGUCCGUGGGGAACAGGAGCAAAUACCUUUGCUACAACCGAGGUCUUGACAGACCAGUCAGUUAGAGAUAGGUUCGUUUUGCAGGGGUUGUUAUGCUCUGUCCCCCGUGGUAAGUUUGCUAGGCAGCGGCUUACUCCUAGCUUGUUUUUUUAGUUUUGACCAUGAUAUCGAAAUUACAUCUGGUCGAUGGUGUCAAGUUUAGGCAGGUACCAUCCGCAUUUUGUGAAGAUUGCCAUCAUCUAAAUUUUAUUGCGGCAUGAUGCAUAUGUAAUAAGGAAUUUGGUGUUUGAAAAGCAUCAUCGGAAGUUGGUAUGCUAAUAUCUCAAUUGGCAAGAUAAAAGGAUCACUACUUCUUACCUUCCAGUCAUUUUAAUAUUAUAGGAAUGCAAGUGUGUACUAAGUAGAAAAGAUGGUUGAAUUUAGUGCCCCUGCAUUUACACGACUAGGUGUUAUUUAGUUUUUGUUUCCUUUGAUGGCUCUGAGUACAAAUUGGAGCUUGUUGGGUACAAAAUGUUGCCAAGAUUAGUUUAGGAUCAGAAUUGUUGUCAUGUUGUCCAGAUAUUGCUCUAAGAGGUUCCUAGAAUUAGUUUAGGAUCAGAGUUAUUGUCAUGUUGUCUAGAUAUUGCUCUAAAGAUUCCGGACGUACUUUUUAGGUUGCUUGGUUAUAAUUUUUGCCCCCCAAAGGGAAGUUUUGGCCAGCUUCUUGCUAGAAUGUUAUCAUAAGGCUUGAUUAAUUUAGAACAUACCUUUGUCGUUUCACUCUUAUUUUAUUUUAAUAGUUAUCUGGCAUGCUGUAAACUAUUUCUUUUAUGUUUCCAGGAAGAAAUAGAAGUUGAGGGGAAGCUAUUGCAUGCUGGAAAAUCAGUUGGUGUUGUCAAUGUUGGUUUCAAGAAGAAAAGGACCGGCAAAUUGAUGGCUCAGGCACGUCAUACAAAGUACUUGUAUCUAGCAGAUUGAGAGGGUUCCCUUAUGUUGUAAGAUAAAAACCUGGUUAUAUGUUGCAUCUCAAAAUCAAGAUGUUGAUUCAAGAAGAGAAAGGAGCUGUUAGUGUGCCGUGGUGAGCGACCUUGUCCCGGAGCAUGCAGUUUAUCAGUAUAAAGUAACGGGUUCAUGCUUUAUACAUCGUGUAUAUAUGCCAGCCAGGGAGGUGGAUGGGCUCGUCUCCACUGCGUCGUGAGCGCCGCCGCCGCCUCUGUGACCACCUUGCUCCGCAUAGUAGCAUGUGUGAGGAAUCGGGGACAAAGCAACCACAAGCAGAUGGCGUCGGCUGCGACGGCAAUAUGCACGGUGCGCGAAGCCUGGUAAGAUGGGCGCGGCCUCCCCACAGGCGUUUCAGGAUGGCGUGCCCGGCGGCUCGGAACGCGCGCGCCCGGCGCACAGGAGGUGUGUCUUGGAGCAGCAUGCUGGCGGUAACAUGCACCCUGAGGUCCCAGAGCAGCCCAACCAGUACAGGAGGAACCCUGCCAUUCCAUCCUCACCUCUACUCAUAGGUAAUCCCCUUCCGCUUCGUGCCCUCUCUUUCCUCUGAACUAUCUCUUUUUUCAGACCCUCUCUCUGUUACACAUUUGCAUGAAAAAACAAAAGUAAAAGGGAAAACUUACUUUGGGUUUAUAUGGUGCAGACCAACAACAAAAUGAUUGCUAAUGAAAGGUUUAAGUCCAGGUAUACUCAAAUCAAGGUCUUUUAUCUAAUUGGUUGGAUAACUACUUUACAGGUCUAUGCCUUUAAGUAAAACUUAAAACCCCUGUUCAAGAAUUCAUCCGACUAACCAGUUAACUUGCCGAUUAAUCUCUACUCGUAGGGUCACCGAGUAGCCGAUAAAUCGAUAAAUCAUCUGAUUAAUUGAUUAAAUGGCAGAUUAACUUGCCGAUUAGCCUAUUAAUCCCCUACUCACCAGCCAACCGAGCAGCUACCAGUAAACGAUUUCCUCAACAAUGCUUAAAACUAAGCAUUUAAUUAUUGUUCUAUUGUGUUAUUGAUUUCACCGGCUUUAUGUCAGCCUGAUUAGUUCUAAGGGAUUCCACAUCGGCUAAUUUGGAUUAUGCUACUUUCGAACAAAAAUAAUGAUCAACGUCGUGUAUUUUACUUUUAAGUAUAAACGAACAGUAAAAGAUGAGAUAGGGGGCUCCUGCUAGGAUAAUAACAGCAAAAAACUCAAUGCACAUAUCUGAGGAUUUUUAUUUGCAGGCUGAGAUUCUGUACAUUGAUAUGAUGUACUCCCUCUGUAAAUAAAUAUAAGAGUGUUUAGAUAACUAAAGUAGUGAUCCAAACGCUCUUAUAUUUCUUUACAGAGGGAGUAUAAGAGAAAUAAUUUAUUUACUUAUUUGGAGAUUAGCCUUUUAGUAUAGGAGUGUGAUUUCCAGCAAAAAUAAAAUAUAGGACUGUGAUACUUCAAGAUAUUCAUGAAAACAAGUAUUUGAUAUGUUCACAUCUAUAUAACUACAUGUUUAUGUGUUUUUCAUCCUUUUUCAUGUUCAAAUAAAGAUAUAUGUGUGGUUUUUGCUCUGUGCCGAUCAUGUUUUGGAAGGAUAUUUUCUAUGGUAAUGUUGAAAUAAAGAUAUAUUACUUUUAAGAAAGGGGCACUAUAAAUUAUUGAAGCGCGCUGAAUAAUGUGAAAAAUGUCACAUAAUGAAACAUUAGUUGGUGCUAUCCAAACACGAUUCUGUACGUUCAGUAGUAAUGGGUCAUUCGCUUUGCUUGGUCAACCUUGCAACUAAAUCUGUAAGAUAACUUUGAAGUUCACUUUGCACCUAACGAAAAAAGUUGUCCAUUUUUUAAUUGAUCAGACAACAAUUGUUUUAUGUCUACGUGCCUUUUUUUGGUACUCAAAUAUGUUGAUUGGUGUAUCCUCUUUUUCAGCUUCAACAUUUGGCUCAUUCUGGUUUUUGGUAAUGCUUUCUUGACAGUGGAGCAGUCAUGGGCCUUUUAUAUGUGUGUAGGUUAUGUGGGAGCCUUUUAUAGAGCCCUCGUGUUUUCAUUUAAAUAUACUUCGAAAAUGUAGAUUGACAAUAAAGGUCACGAGGUCCAUUGCUAAUGAAUAAGUAGUCUUGCUGAAGGUGAUAAAUCUCCAAACUGAUGGAUAAGCCGAAGGUGAUAUUCAAGAGAUCCAUUUCUAAUGAAUAAGUAGUCUUGCUGAAGGUGAUAAAUAUCCAAACUGAUGGAUAGGCCGAAGGUGAUAUUCAACCUUUUGUAUACUGUAGUCGUGCUGAAGUGAAAGCAUCUGUGGAUGCAUGUAUACAUGAUUUUCAAUCUUCCUUUGUCAAACUACGGCAUGUAAAGUAUGGGAGGACCAAGUGAUUAUAAACUGUGUCAAACCCAUGUCUUUACAUGAUUUUUCUAACAUGGAAUUUGUCACUUCAUGGAUACCGGAGUAUGUACAUAGAGCUGGAACGCUUAUUGCCUCAUGAUUUGCUAGUGAAAAAUCAAGCACGAGACAUGUGUUAGGA